UCCUGAAGUCAAACUGAAUGGGCCAGCUUCACCAGAGCACGGAACGGAAUGGACAAAGAUGUGGUCCUCCUGAGACAACACAAAAAGAUUUCCUUUCAGGAGAGGAGAUGCAGCUUGAGAACAGAGGAUAGAGCCACGUGUGGAGGUGUUCGUCUGUACUCCUAGUGUGUGGGAGAGCAAGGUGGAAUCAGUGUUGACUCCACAGCAAGAUCACGUCUCAGAAAACAACAACAGAGCAAACUACGGACUUACCGAGACAACAAACCAGGGAAGAAGGAAUUCAGGAAAGAGGAGUAGGGUGGAGGACGGCGAUGAGGCUCUAGAAUGAUAACGGCUCCCUGCAGCUCCAGACUCAACCGCCUCGAUUAGAUCAAGACGAUGAGAGGAGGCCAUGGUGAUGUACUGACCCAGGACGGAGGCGCAGAGUGAAGAAGAGGGGAAGAGAUUCUGGAGACCAUGAUGAUGGACUCCAGCACCCCAUUCUGACCUUUUCUUCUUAUACAUCAAAACCUUGCCGGUGCUGUGGAGGGUAAGGAGACGCAGAACUCGACAGGCUAAGGAUGCAGAAAACUGAUGAACAUUUGCCUGAGAUUGGCCUGUGAUGUGAGCCACACGGUAAAGAAGGGAUGCUCUGGGGUCAGUGUUGAGAGAUGCCAGUUUCCCGUGGGUACCAUUCCUAUGGGUGACUUCCUUAACUCGGCUCAGGGCCUCCUAGUCUGCACUCCUGUUUCCACUCCUGGCCCAGGGAGUGGAGGGCAGUGAGGCAGCACAUACAUUAAUUUUGAAUGGAGGAAGUGGAUGUUCAGUGACCUUGUUGGAAAAACCCAGUGCUAACGCGUUACAGCAGGUGGCAGCCUUUCCCUGAGAGAGAGGAAGAGCUAAUGCAAACCUGGCUUCCAUUUGAACAGUUUAGUUUUGUGGUUUUUUUCUAAUACAAGUACCAGGACUUGAAUCGAUGGAUUUAUUAUAGA